rnacentral:rRNA from 1 species
AAGACCUUGCGCUUUUGGAGCGGCCGAUGCCUGAUUAGCUUGUUGGUAAGGUAAAAGCUUACCAAGGCUUCGAUCAGUAGCUGGUCUGAGAGGACGACCAGCCACACUGGGACUGAGACGCGGCCCAGACUCCUACGGGAGGCAGCAGUGGGGAAUUUUGGACAAUGGGGGCAACCCUGAUCCAGCCAUGCCGCGUGAGUGAAGAAGGCCUUCGGGUUGUAAAGCUCUUUCAGCCGGAACGAAACGGUUACGGAUAACACCCGUGACUACUGACGGUACCGGAAGAAGAAGCACCGGCUAACUACGUGCCAGCAGCCGCGGUAAUACGUAGGGUGCGAGCGUUAAUCGGAAUUACUGGGCGUAAAGCGUGCGCAGGUGGUUUUGUAAGUCAGAUGUGAAAGCCCCGGGCUCAACCUGGGAACU